rnacentral:rRNA from 1 species
GACAGAGGGUGCAAACGUUGUUCGGAAUACUGGCGUAAAGCGAGUGUAGGCGGUCUCGUAAGUCGGGUGUGAAAGCCCUCAGCUCAACUGAGGAAGUGCGCCCGAAACUGCAGAGCUUGAGUGCCGGAGAGGGUGGCGGAAUUCCCCAAGUAGAGGUGAAAUUCGUAGAUAUGGGGAGGAACACCGGUGGCGAAGGCGGCCACCUGGACGGUAACUGACGCUGAGACGCGAAAGCGUGGGGAGCAAACAGG